UGAGCUGCUAGAGAGAGCGAGAGAGCAGUUUUCCACUGACGUGGACCAAUCAGAUUAAAGAACACACAACCGCAUGAAAGAGCUUCAGCAGCACGAGCCGCUCAGCACCAGUGUCUGAGAUGGAGACAUCAAGAGUCGCUCUCAUCGCUCUCGUGUGUGUUGUGUUCUCCAGUCAGAAGAGGAUCUCUGGAGCAGAAGUGGAGAUGAGAGUCAGACGAGGAGACGACGUCACUCUCUACUGCGACUGUGCAACACACACGAUCUGCUGAUUAAGAACGUCACAGAAGCAGAUCAGGGCCUGUACUACUGCGCUCUACAUGAGACAAAUAUUUCAAAGGAUAAAAACGGCGUCAUCAUCGACAGGGACGUGUAUCA